AUAUGCGCAUGCGCGAUAGCGGUGAAAAUGGUGUCACUCAGCUACCCGGUCUGUUCUCCUGGAUCAGUAAUCGGCAGCAUCCUCUGUCUUCAGCUCUCGGCCACUCCCCGCUUUUUCAAUCCGUGACCAGGCCCCAGGCAGUACCUCUCUCCUGAGUUCUGUCUCAGACGCGGCUGUUUUCCCCAGGCCCUUACUUCUGAAGGACCGGGGCUUUGACCGGUUCUGCCCCUCUGCGGAAGGGUCUCACCCAGCAAUGGCUGAAUGAGCAAUGGCCGAGUGUUGGCCGCACCCAGGAACUAUUGCAGGACCCUGCUGUUGCCAGUGCCCGAGACUGCGGCCGGGUGCCAGCCCGCCCCAGAAAAAGUUCGCGAAACAGGGUAGCAGCAGUGUGUCAGGGAUGAUGGAAACUCACAACACGCAUCUGGCACCAGGCUUCACCCUUAAUGAUGGUGCUUGUUCCAGCCCCAGCGAAUGUGGCCGUUUUCUGGGGCCUGCCGGGACCAGAGGGCUUCAACAGUCUCCAGCAAAUGUCCUUCCAGCAAUGGAACCGCUUUUUCCCUGUGGCCUGAGAACCUCCCAGACCCCACCCUGCUCCUGGGGAUUCGCCCUUCUCACCAGAGCAACGCCAGAUGGAGAGGCUGGCUGCACUUGAGCAAUUUUGCAGAAUUACGUGGAUUAUAAAUGUCAGAAGUAGGAUUUGAACCCAGCCUGGCUGCUUGUCCACUCCAUCACAUGCUUUCUACCUGCAAACCUGGGACAAAGGUCUGUUUCCAGAUCCAUGAUGGGAAGUCCAAGAUCAAGAUGCUGGUGGACUUAAGUGUCUGGUGAGAACCCUGUUCCUCAUUGUGGAUGGCCACCUCUUGCUGUGUCUUCACAUAGCAGAGAGGGGCUCUGGUCUCUUUCCUCUUCUUACAAAGAUGUAUCUGUUUCCCCACUUCAGGGUCCAGGCUUCAGUUAUAAUUAUAUUCUCAUGCGCUCCCUACCACUGUGGAGGAACCCCUCUUCCUGCCGACUCUGCAGAGCCUUCUGUCUUUUGUAGCGGCUGCAGUAGAAGGCAGGGAAGUACCCUUUCCUGGACUGACCAGAGGAUCCUGUUCUACUGUCUUCUGGUACCUAAAUGGUGACUGUGUCUGGUAUAUCAGAGAUGCAUGUGCAUGACUGAGAGCUGAAUCUUGCUAGAAAUUGUGAGUAAUAUGUA